UUAAAGCUGAGAGGUGAUGACGAUGGAUGGGGCAACCCUGAAGGAGUCUGCUGAUGCUACGCUUCCAAGAAAAGCUUCCGUUGGGAGAUUUGCGUGUAGCCGUACCGUAAACCGACACAGGUGGGUGGGGUGAGAAUCAUAAGGCGCGUGAGUGAUUGCUUGUCAAGGAACUCUGCAAGUUGAUGCCGUAACUUCGGGAGAAGGCAUGCCUCUUAAGGUGAAGGAAUUUACUUCCGUAAGCCAUUUGAGGUCGCAGAAACUAGGUGGCGGCGACUGUUUAACAAAAACACAGGACUAUGCAAAGACGAUCAAGUCGAAGUAUAUGGUCUGACUCCUGUCCGGUGCUGGAAGGUUAAAGAGAGAUGUUAGCCGCAAGGCGAAGCUUCGAACUGAAGCCCCAGUAAACGGCGGCCGUAACAAUAACGGUCCUAAGGUAGCGAAAUUCCUUGUCGGGUAAGUUCCGACCUGCACGAAUGGAGUAACGAUUGCCACACUGUCUCGACAAGCAGCUCAGCGAAAUUGAAUUUGCGGUGCAGAUGCCGUAUACGCGCAGAAAGACGGAAAGACCCUGUGCACCUUUACUAUAGCUUGACAGCGAAUUUAGAUUUAGGCUGUGUAGAAUAGGUGGGAGACUUUGAAGCGGUCACGCUAGUGAUCGUGGAGUCAUCGUUGAAAUACCACCCUGUCUGUAUUUGAAUUCUAACUCCUUCCCGUGAAUCCGGGAAGAGGACACUGUCUGGUGGGUAGUUUGACUGGGGCGGUCGCCUCCCAAAGAGUAACGGAGGCGCGCAAAGGUUCCCUCAGGCUGAUUAGAAACCAGCCGUUGAGUGUAAAAGCAAAAGGGAGCUUGACUGUGAGACAUACACGUCGAACAGGGACGAAAGUCGGCUUUAGUGAUCCGGUGGUUCUGGAUGGAAGGGCCAUCGCUCAUCGGACAAAAGGUACGCCGGGGAUAACAGGCUGAUGACUUCCAAGAGUUCACAUCGACGAAGUCGUUUGGCACCUCGAUGUCGGCUCAUCACAUCCUGGGGCUGAGGUUGGUCCCAAGGGUUGGGCUGUUCGCCCAUUAAAGUGGUACGCGAGCUGGGUUCAGAACGUCGUGAGACAGUUCGGUCCCUAUCUUCUGUGCGCGCAGGAUAUUUGAAAGGAGCUGUCCCUAGUACGAGAGGACCGGGAUGGACGAACCUCUGGUGCACCAGUUGUCACGCCAGUGGCACAGCUGGGUAGCUAUGUUCGGUAAGGAUAACCACUGAAAGCAUCUAAGUGGGAAACCUGCCUUAAGAUUAGAUAUCCCAAUUAGACACCAUGUAGACCACGUGGUUGAUAGGCAAGGUGUGGAAGUGUCGUAAGACACGGAGCUUACUUGUACUAAUCUGUCAAUUGGCUUC
rnacentral:rRNA from 1 species